CGCAAGCCUGACGGGGCAAGACCGCGUGCGGGAUGACGGCCUAAUGGUUGUAAACCGCUUUUCUCUGGGAAGAUGAUGACGGUACCAGAGGAAUCAGCCUCGGCUAACUCCGUGCCAGCAGCCGCGGUAAGACGGAGGAUGCAAGCGUUAUCCGGAAUUAUUGGGCGUAAAGCGUCCGUAGGUGGUUAUUCAAGUCUGCUGUCAAAGCGUGGGGCUUAACUCCAUAGAGGCAGUGGAAACUGAGUGACUAGAGUGCGGUAGGGGUCGAGGGAAUUCCCAGUGUAGCGGUGAAAUGCGUAGAUAUUGGGAAGAACACCAGUGGCGAAAGCGCUCGACUGGGCCUGCAUUGACACUGAGGGACGAAAGCUAGGGGAGCG
rnacentral:rRNA from 1 species